GUACACGCACACGCUCUCUCUCUUUCUUUCGAUGAUUUAUGCACCGUGCUGACAUUUUUUUCAUAUUUCUACAUUUAUUCCUAAAGCUCGCCGCAGUUACUUUCUGGAAUCUUCUACACGCACGAAUGUGAAAUCUCGACUGCGUAAAUAUUGGCACCUUUUUUCUUUUUUUUUCUUAACUCGUGCAACCAGAAAACGUCAGUUAUUUAGCUAAUACGGAAGAAAAAAAAGAAGUCUAGCUACAGUGUGUUGAAUAAAAACAUGAUUCUGAGUCACGGAAGAAAUAAGCGAGGGAUAAAAACAACACGCGUGCUGUGACAGGGGAAAACUCCUCACUUAUUCUCGCGAGAUAAACACUGUGUUUAACAAUAUUUAUAGCGCAUUAAGAAAGGGGGCGCAAACUUUUGCAUUUAAUUACGUGUGUGAAUACUAAUCAUCUAAAGAAGAGAUCUGCAGUCAGUCGACAUUUCAGUCUUGUCGCACACACCUGAGAUCACACACACACACACACACACACACACACACACACACACACACACACACAGUGUGAAAUGCAGUGAACUCAGCGGGGGCACAGUUUCCUCCAUUACACUGAUUUAUUCGGCCCAGAUAUAGACAGACAGAAUGGUGUGUGUGUGUGUGUGUGUGUGUGUGUGUGUGUGUGUGUGUGUGUGUGUGUGUGUUAAUCAGUUCAUCAGGUUUUUGCUGCCCAGCAGAUUCAGAGGAAUUGAGCGAUCAUUUGUGAGGCACUUAGUCCUGAUUCACUAAUCACACACACACACACACACACACACACACACACACACACACACACGAUUAAUAACACCAAUAAAGUACAUUUUCAGGGCACUAAACGAGUCGAUUAAUCUCUGAGUUUGUUGAGGUUAUUGGCAGGAAGAAAAUAGUCAGCAAGUGUGAAGAAGGAAAAGAGGAAGAAGAUAAAGACAGAAAAAUGGAAAAGUCACAGAAGGAAGACAGAAGGAGAGAGAGAGAAAAGAGGAAGACGGAAGGAGAGAGAGAGAAAAGAGGAAGACAGAAGGAGAGAUAGAGAAAAGAGGAAGACGGAAGGAGAGAUAGAGAAAAGAGGAAGACGGAAGGAGAGCGAGAGAGAAAAGAGGAAGCCGGAAGGAGAGAUAGAGAAAAGAGGAAGAAGGAGAGCGAGAGAGAAAAGAGGAAGACAGAAGGAGAGAUAGAGAAAAGAGGAAGAAGGAGAGAGAGAAAAGAGGAAGACAGAAGGAGAGAUAGAGAAAAGAGGAAGACAGAAGGAGAGAUAGAGAAAAGAGGAAGACAGAAGGAGAGAUAGAGAAAAGAGGAAGAAGGAGAGAGAGAAAGAGGAAGAAGGAGAGCGAGAGAGAAAAGAGGAAGACAGAAGGAGAGAUAGAGUAAAGAGGAAGACAGAAGGAGAGAGAGAGAGAAAAGAGGAAGACGGAAGACAGGAAUGGAAGAGUGACGGAAGGAAAGAGGCUAAACGAGGAAGGAAGACAGAGAGACAGAAAAAAGAGGGAGGAAAAAAGAAGAGAGAGACAGAAAUCCAUGUGCACUUUGCAGGUGCUGAAAAACAUAUCGCUGCUCAGAACUCCUCAAAUGACACACACACUUACAGCAA
ensembl:lncRNA